CGGGACGGGUGAGUAAUGUAUGGGGAUCUGCCUGAUGGCGGGGGAUAACUACUGGAAACGGUAGCUAAUACCGCAUAACGUCGCAAGACCAAAGAGGGGGACCUUCGGGCCUCUUGCCAUCGGAUGUGCCCAGAUGGGAUUAGCUUGUAGGUAAGGUAACGGCUUACCUAGGCGACGAUCCCUAGCUGGUCUGAGAGGAUGAUCAGCCACACUGGGACUGAGACACGGCCCAG
rnacentral:rRNA from 1 species